rnacentral:rRNA from 1 species
GAUCCUGGCUCAGGAUGAACGCUGGCGGCGUGCUUAACACAUGCAAGUCGAACGAAGCAACUAUCUUGCUGCAAGAAAGUGACUUAGUGGCGGACGGGUGAGUAACGCGUGGGUAACCUGCCUCAUACAGGGGGAUAACAGUUGGAAACGACUGCUAAGACCGCAUAACCCGCUAGUGUCGCAUGACACGGACGGAAAAUAUUUAUAGGUAUGAGAUGGGCCCGCGUCUGAUUAGCUAGUUGGUAAGGUAACGGCUUACCAAGGCGACGAUCAGUAGCCGACUUGAGAGAGUGAUCGGCCACAUUGGGACUGAGACACGGCCCAAACUCCUACGGGAGGCAGCAGUGGGGAAUAUUGGACAAUGGGGGAAACCCUGAUCCAGCCGACGCCGCGUGAGUGAAGAAGUAUUUCGGUAUGUAAAGCUCUAUCAGCAGGGAAGAUAAUGACAGUACCUGACUAAGAAGCCCCGGCUAACUACGUGCCAGCAGCUGC